rnacentral:rRNA from 1 species
AUUGAACGCUGGCGGAAUGCUUUACACAUGCAAGUCGAACGGCAGCACGGGUGCUUGCACCUGGUGGCGAGUGGCGAACGGGUGAGUAAUACAUCGGAACGUACCCAGUUAUGGGGGAUAACUAACCGAAAGGUUAGCUAAUACCGCAUACGCCCUGAGGGGGAAAGCGGGGGGCCGUAAGGCCUCGCGUAAUUGGAGCGGCCGAUGUCUGAUUAGCUAGUUGGUGAGGUAAAGGCUCACCAAGGCGACGAUCAGUAGCAGGUCUGAGAGGAUGAUCUGCCACACUGGAACUGAGACACGGUCCAGACUCCUACGGGAGGCAGCAGUGGGGAAUUUUGGACAAUGGGGGAAACCCUGAUCCAGCCAUUCCGCGUGAGUGAAGAAGGCCUUCGGGUUGUAAAGCUCUUUCGGCAGGGAAGAAACGGUCUAGGUUAAUACCUUGGGCUAAUGACGGUACCUGAAGAAGAAGCACCGGCUAACUACGUGCCAGCCGCCGCCGUAA